CGAAGGAUUAGAAUAAACCUCCCAAAUGUGCUCGGACCUCAUUCACUGAGUAUUUUUCCAGAAACAGGGAAACAGCCUUGCAGCUGAGGACUGGUGUGAAGGUGCUGAUGACUGGGGAAGUGAUACUGAGGAGGGGCCUUCACCACAGUUUACCUUGGAUUUUGGGAAUGAUGCCAGCAGUGCCAAAGACGUAGACUGGACUGCUCGGCUCCAAGACCUCCGCCUGCAGGAUGCUGUCCUGGGUGCUGCCCAUCCUGUGCCUCCUGGGCUGCCGCUCUUCCUGCCCUACUACAUCUGUGUUGCAGAUGAGGAUGAUUACAGGGACUUUGUCAACCUGGAUCAUGCCCACAGCCUUCUGAGGGACUAUCAGCAGAGAGAAGGCAUUGCCAUGGAUCAGUUGCUUUCCCAAAGCCUUCCUAAUGAUGGUGAUGAAAAAUAUGAGAAGACCAUAAUUAAAAGUGGAGAUCAGACGUUUUACAAAUUCAUGAAGCGAAUUGCUGCUUGUCAGGAGCAGAUUUUGAGGUAUUCCUGGAGUGGAGAGCCACUCUUUUUGACCUGCCCUACAUCAGAAGUCACCGAGCUCCCAGCCUGCAG
rnacentral:lncRNA from 1 species